rnacentral:pre_miRNA from 1 species
AGGAGGAACAGCCCCAGUGGCGGGGCCAGCUCUGCAGCCUGGGAUCAGCUCCGGCAGGAAUCCGUCUGCAGGGCCUGGAGGCUCCGGAGCGGG